UCUCCUGUAGCUCAGUGGUUUAGAGCAUCCGAGCGGUGGGCGGAAGGUCAUGGGUUCGACUUCCGUCGGGAAAU